rnacentral:misc_RNA from 1 species
AACAUCGCGCACCUGCGGGAACCUGCGGAAGGAUCAUUACUGAGUGCGGGCCCGCUCCGGGCCCAACCUCCCACCCGUGUCUCUUGCGUACUUUGUUGCUUUGGCGGGCCCACCGGGUCACUCCGGUCGCCGGGGGGCGCUAUGCUCCCGGGCCCGUGCCCGCCAGAGCACCCCUGUGAACCCUGAUGAAGAGAGGCUGUCUGAGUCCCACGAUAAUCGUUAAAACUUUCAACAAUGGAU